rnacentral:rRNA from 1 species
UACGAGGGGAGCAAGCGUUGUUCGGAUUUACUGGGCGUAAAGGGCGCGUAGGCGGCGUGACUAGUCACUUGUGAAAUCUCCGGGCUUAACUCGGAACGGUCAAGUGAUACUGUCGUGCUAGAGUACAGAAGGGGCAACUGGAAUUCUCGGUGUAGCGGUGAAAUGCGUAGAUAUCGAAGAGGAACACCUGCGGCGAAGGCGGGUUGCUGGGCUGAUAACUGACGCUGGAUGCGCGAAAGCCAGGGGAGCGAACGGG